rnacentral:lncRNA from 1 species
CCAAUUCAAACAAGAACUGUUUGGCUUGUUUUAAAGAAGCCUUUGGAAAACUGCUUUGAGUUGCCAUUUGUCAUUGCCACCAAAUCCUGGGGAAGUGGGGGGUGAAACUGCAGUGUCAUUCCUUAGCCCAUCUCCAGGAGCUUUUCUUAUUUGUUCUUUCACACAGAUCAGAAGGUCCAUGUGGAAUCUUCUUGGAACCGAAAUCGCCGGCGCAAGAAGGGCAGAUGAACAUUUUUUAAUUGAAAAGUAAUACGGUUUAGCAGCUUCCAUUUCCCUUUGAACAGAAGACUUUUUUGAAGUUUUGAUUAAUAGGGCACAUUACUCAAGCCGAGCUUUCACUCGCCAUCCACCACUGCUGUUUGCCGCCAUCGCAGACCCGCCACUGACUUCCACCCCUCCGGAUAUGGCAGGAUGUCUUCUGUGCUCCUGAUCCAGCAAGGCGCCCAUUGCUGCUCCCAAUCGGGCUAAAGGCUCCCCAUUGUUCCUGCGUGGCUAAGUGCCUGGGUUCUCCUAAUCGAGCUGAACACUAGUCGUUGGGUUCCAUGGUUCUCUUCUGUGACCCACAGCUUCUAAUAGAGCUAUAACACUCACCGCAUGGCCCAAGGUUCCAUUCCUUGGAAUCCAUGAAGCCAAGAACCCCAGGUCAGAGAAAAAGAGGCUUGCCACCAUCUUGGAAGCAGCCCACCACCAUCUCGGGAGCUCUAAGAACAAGGACCCUCCCAGUAACAUUUUGGUGACCAUGAAGGGACAUCCAAAGUGAUGGGAAGCAUUCCCCCUAAGGCAAAUGCCCCUAAGAUGUAUUCUGGAGAAUUUGGCCCAGUCAGAGUAUCAAGCUGAGCUUUCACUCGCCAUCCACCACUGCUGUUUGCCGCCAUUGCAGACCUGCCACUGACUUCCACCCCUCCGGAUCUGGCAGGAUGUCUGCUGUGCUCCUGAUCCAGCGAGGUGCCCAUUGCCGCUCCCGAUCGGGCUAAAGGCUCACCAUUGUUCCUGCAUGGCUAAGUGCCUGGGUUCUCCUAAUCGAGCUGAACACUAGUCGCUGGGUUCCACGGUUCUCUUCCGUGACCCAUGGCUUCUAAUAGAGCUAUAACACUCACUGCAUGGCCCAAGGUUCCAUUCCUUGGAAUCCAUGAGGCCAAGAACCCCAGGUCAGACUACAAGAGGCGGGCUGCCAUCUUGGGAGCAGCCCGCCAUCAUCUUGGGAGCUCUAAGAACAAGGACUGACGCCCACCCCCCCCCGCCCCAGUAACAAUUGCAUAGUUACUUCUGCCAAAGUAAUCAAGGUCCAAGAAAGGGUAUUCUAUAUAGAAUUCUGAGUGACUUGCUUGUCACUUUUGAGUGUGUGUGUACUCUUCUUAAUAUGGAAAACAAACCUCCCAUCCCUUGUUUGAAUUUAAACAUCAAUAAAUUAAUGACAAUAAUUCCACUUACAUUUGUGUAGAGCUCUACAGCUCUUUAAAGAGAACUAUGGAGGAAAGUUGAGCAAAAGAUACUAAGAAAGAACAGCCUGGCAGAAAGUAAGAGAACACUAAGGGAAUGAUGUCAAAAGACAAAUGAAGAAGGAGAAUCAAAUAUUGCAUAGAUGGCUUUAGGGAUGUGGACCAAUAAAAGGUUACAGAGUUUGGAAAUUAAGAAAUCAUUGAUGAUCUUAAGAACCAUUUCAGUGGAGGGGAGUGAAAUGUUGGAUGCCAAGUACAUUUGGUUGAGAAUUUAAUGAGUAGCUAAUCAGAAUAAUAAGUAUUAGACAAUAUCUUCAAGAUGUAAAAAGAUACAGAGAGAAAUAAAAUAGUAAAUAACUUGAAGGGUGACCACUGGAACACAGAGUGGAAAGAAAUUAGUUGAAAGGAUGGGUGAACAUUGAAUGAGGUCAUAGGCCUAGGAUGAGGAGGAAAUAUAAAGAAAUUUAAUGAGAAUUAGAUAAGAAAGAAUAUGAAAAAUGAAGCAAAGUUUGGGAAGAAGAAAGGCCAUCCAAGGGAUAAAGCACAUAUAAGAAAAUCCUGGAAUGCAGUAUUGAAGACAAUAAGGAAGAAAGCCCACACCCUUUCUUAAUAGGGCCUGUCAGGGAAGAAUGAUUGUCAGCACAGCUAAAAGGAAACAUAUCUAAGGCUCUCCUGGGGUAGGUAACACCCGGCCAUUUUAGCAGUUCCCAUUCAAUGCCCAUUUGAGAUGAUACAUGACACGUUUCAGAAGGCAGCUUAGAAAAGGAGGCCUUUUGGGAACUGAGCAAGUUUUUAAAAAUCAUUUUGCUGAAAAAUCAAUUAAGCAAAGAAUCAAUUCACCAAAUUUAUCAAUUCAUUAAAAAUGUUUUUCUCUUAACUAUUUACAAGUUUACAGCAAUUAGUAUUGAAUGAGAUUCAGCUGAUUUUUGAAGAUUGGGGGGAAGUUUUGGUUGACUAGUUAUUUUUUGUUCUUCACGCUACCAUUUUAAGGAAUAUUUACUCUAUUAAAAACUAAGUAUAUUAUGUCGCGCUUUAUGUAUAAUUCAAUAGCAGUAAUCAAAAUUUCAGUGCUACCUAUGGAGUUUUUAUUAUACUGACUCAAAUAUACACUGAAUAAGGCAUAUAAUAUCAGAUUAUACUGAUUCAAAUAUAUUUUACUUAUUUUUUGCCUUGCUCACCCUUUGUUAUAUUUAAGACUCUUUUGCCAAUAUAUCAAGUGGAAUAACCCAGUAAUACUGUUAUUAUAGCAAUUAGUGGCCAAAAUUUAACUUAUGUACAUCCCUUAGCUGUGUCACUUGGGCUAUUUGUGGCUGUGGAAGAGGCAAGUUUGAGAUUUGCUGCAAGAGUACCUGGGGCAGCAUCAGCCAUAAGGUCACUGGGGGACCCAUGAUUUCAAGGAUAGAAUGUGUAAUCAGCUUCCCAGAAAACCAGGACACCAGGUUACUAAAGCCCAGAAAAGACCGGAGCUGGAGUGACUCGUGGAGCACUGUUAGCUAACAUAUUAUUUGAUCUCUACAUCAUAAUUUUGUUUUUAGAUGUAAUAUACUUUAAAUUUAAAGUCCCAACCACACGAUCCUUUAUAAUAAUCCCAUCUGAGCAGCCUCACUUUCUUUUUCCUUCUUUGAAUGGCUUCAACCUUUCCUUUCUCUGCCACUGUCAACAAGUCUAUGCCUUCAGAUGCUUUCUGUAGUAGCAUCAACAUCUUUUCCUAAAAGACUGAUAUCAGAAUAAGUGAAUGCCAAAAUCAAUUUUAUUUGGGCCAGAAAUAAACCUCUUUAAUGAGAGAAUAACAAAUUGGAUUAUAUAAGCAUAUUUGUAGAGCCCUUUGGGGAUGGAAAAGGGUACCUUCUGGCCCAUUUCUUUUGAGCAUUGGCCCCAUGAGGAAGCUGGUGCAUGGCCUGAGUCAUUUUGCUGGGUCACACUCACAAAGUCAGCCACAAAGUAAGUAGGCAGGGCAGCUGUCCACAAUGCUUGGAAAACUGGAGUUGGAUUUCCCGUGCUUAAGUUCUGGUCAGUAAUAAGUUCAGCUCACUUAUUAGUAAAUAUUCGGCAAAUGAUUUAAUCUCUCUCUGCCUUUUUUUUUCAUUCAUGAAACUAGGUAAGAAUUCAGUGAGUUUACGUGUGUGUGUAUGUGUGUGUUUGUGUGUGUGUGUAUUUCAUGCUUAUGUGUGUGGCACAUAAUAGACACUGAAUACAUUUUAGUUGUUUUGUGCAUACUGGAAAACAGCUUAGACUCACACUUUACUUUGUAAGUUCUUCCCUUGUUGUUUUGCAUGAGGUAAGCCUAAAAAGUGGAAAUUAAGUUAAAUGCUAUUAUUUUUCUGAUAUAGGAUUUAUUUAUUCAUUCAAGAAAUAUUUAUUGAAGGCAUACCACAUGUCAUGCUUUGUGUUGAAUGCAUAAUGAAAUAAUAGAGGAAAAUAAUUAUAGUGUCUACCCUCGAGGAGUUUACAGUCUAGUAGGGAGGAGGUCAAACCAUAAAUAAAGUGCAGUUAGAAUGCAUGAGGUGAAUGAUGUGAAGGAAAAGAACAGAUGUAAAACAAAUGUAAAAUGCAAAGCUUCCAUCAGUUUAAACCUGUGCUUAUGAUAGUGGCAAUUGGAGUUACUGGUGGCAAGAAUACAGGUACUUUAUUCUCCUCUUCACUGAAGAAUAUCCUAGUAGAAAAUUAAUCAUGUCCAGAGUUAGUCUCUUAUAUAAUACAUUUGUAUCUCUAGAUGCUGAGGUUGUUAUAGUAGGAUUCACUUAUAUGACCGAAGAGUUAGCUAUUAAGCAGUGAAUCUUUCCUCAAAAGGAAAGUACAGAUUGAAAGAGAAGUAGGUAAUAUGUACCAUGAGAGAGGAUGCACUUUGAAAGAGGGAGAGAGGAAAUUGAGGAGAGGGUGGAAAGUCUCCCUCAGACUCCUCUCCAGGCUAAGUCUCCUCCAUCCGAGCCAUUUUUUUUUCCUUUUUUUUGAGACAGAGUCUCACUCUGUCACCCAGGCUGAAGUGCAGUGGCAUUAUCUCGGCUCACUGCAACUUCCGCCUCCCAAGUUCAAGCAAUUCUCCUGCCUCAGCCUCCCAAGUAGCUGGGAUUACAGGCAUGCCACGCCACACCCAGCUAAUUUUUGUAUUUUUAGUAGAGAUGGAGUUUCACCAUGUUGGCCAGGCUGGUCUCAAACUCCUGACCUCAGGUGAUCCACUAGCCUCAGCCUCCCAAAGUGCUGGGAUUACAGGCAUGAGCCACCGUGCCCAGCCUGGAGCCAUUUUUCUGUGCCGUGUUUAUGUCCUCAUGGACACCAAAGAGGGCUGAAAAGUGUACUCCUUUAAAGGGUCUUGGGUUCCUCCACACCUCUGACUCCUUCCAGUUUGGGCUUCACAGAGAUAACAUGACAAGGGAGGCAUAGAUCCCUUGGACAUAGUGGUGACAGGUUUUUCCAUUCCCAAAAGAGACCUAGAUUUGCACCAGCAGCAUUUGUGACCAGUUGUUUCAAUUUGCCUGGAACUGAGAUGUUUCCUAGAAUGUGAGACAUUCAGUGCUAAAACUGGGAUGAUCCCAGGCUAAUCAAGAUAGUUGGCCACGCUGAUGGCAGAGAAGUCUCACGAAAGCAGAUAACCUGAUCUGCUUUACGCUCUGGAGCAUCUCCAUUUUUGGGCCCCUAGUAAUGGAGUGUGGUGGUUAAAUAUGGGGGAUUUGGGGAUCAGAAAACAUGUAUCUAAAUCUGCUUUUCACCUACAAGCUGUGUAACUGUAAGCAUUUUACUGUACCUUUCUGAGCCUCUAUUUCCUCACCUGUAAAAUCAUGACAUACUUCACAGGUUUUUGUAAGGAUUAAGUAAAUAAUGAGUGCAAAGUGUUCCACACACCACCUGACACACCACACUGUCAGCACAUUCUGUGUGUUAGUCAUUAAUUUUACUACUUCGGUAGACCUUCAGCAAAUAUCUGUUACUUGGCUCUAUCAUGUUUCUGACAGUUACUAAUGUUUUUUUCCCUGGAAUUUGGGGGUUAGGGAGUAAUGAAUAUGACACCCCCAUUGCCUACCGCUAUAGACUGAAUGCUUAUGUUAUGUUCCCCCAAAAUUCAUAUGUUGAAAUGCUAACCCACAAUAUGAUGGUAUUAAGAAGUGAAGCCUUUAGAAGGUGAUUAAGUCAUGACAGUGGAGCCUCCAAGAAUGGGAUUAAUACCCUCAUAAAAGAAACCCCAGAGAGCUUCCUUGCUUCUUCUGCUAUGUGAUGACUCAGUGAGAAGACAGCCGUCUAUAAACUAGGAAUCAAGCCCUCGCUAGACAUGGAACCUGCCAGCACCUUGAUCUUGGACUUCUCAUCCUUCAGAACUGAGAAAAAUACGUUUCUUUUGUUUAUAAGCCACCCAUUCUAUGGUAUUUUGUUAGAGCAGCCCAGAUGGACUAAGACACCCACUCUCCCCAACCCAGACUACCUCACAUCACAGCUAUGAUCAUGCCUUCCUACGUUCUUUGGAAACUCAGUCAUAUCCCUUUGUUGUCUCCGUAUCUCACCAAGGAGUGUCUUGAGCAGAAUACUUCAUUGUCCCAGCAACAGACAGAGUCACAUUCUCUCCACCUCUCCUUCAUCCUGGGACCACCUUCCCAGGAAGACAGGGCUACCUCAUACUCAUUACUAUUGUUAGCGUGGAAAAUAUUUGGCUGAUUCAGCCAGGAUUCAGGGGGUAAGCAGAAAGGAGAGGAGCACACUGUGCUCUUUCAAGGGUGUAGGGAAACGUAUAGCCAGAAGCCAGGUCACAAUCUGUCAGGAGAGAGAGGUUGGGUUUCACUGGGCAGCAGGUUGGCUUUGAACCAAAUCCCAAAUAAUCAUUACGGCAAAGGGCUCACUGUAUAAAUGAAACAGCCAACAUAUAUUAUAUAAAAAGUAAGUCCAACGAGGAAGCAUUUUAGCUUCCCAAGUAAAAAGAUUUCUGGACUCCCAAGGGAAAGCUUAGGAGGUAUAGAAUGAAAGAUUUGGGAAAAGCACAGAAAAUGCAUUAAUGCUACUAUGAUUUUAAAAGAGUAGGGGAUUUCUUGGAGCAUUUUAAAACUACACUCAGUAACCCCACCAAAAUUCUGAGACACCCCCUUUGAAACACCCCCUCCAACACACAUACACAUGUCCCAUGAAAAUCUCUAGAACUGUGAUAUGUGAUUAUCCAUGGAGUGUGUCUCAUCCUCACAUCCAUGAUGCCAGUGGGGAAGCAAGACUGAGACUUCAUGGCUGGUGAAUAGAGCACUGGGCUAGGAGACCAGAGAUCUUCAUUUCAACCCAAUCCAUUUGUGACAGUGGCAAAUCAACCACUUCUUUGUUCUUCAGCUGCUCCAGCAGUAAAAGGAUCACAGCCAUUUCUGUUCAUUUCUCCUGCAGAGGGUACUUGUAAAAGGGAAUAAGAUCUCAUGUGUGGAGACACUCUUCAGAAGAUGAGAAUGUGUGCAUACCUUAUAUUAUUAAUAAUAAAAAUUGGAUUCAAAAAUUCUGCCUAGACACUUUUGUCAAACGGCCAGGCAUGUGUAAUUCCUCUGUAAUGAUACCAGUUAUUUGUACUACCUAGUCUUUGGAAAUUUGAAGGUACUUUUUUAAGCAACAGGAG